rnacentral:rRNA from 1 species
AUUGAACGCUGGCGGCAUGCCUUACACAUGCAAGUCGAACGGCAGCACGGGUGCUUGCACCUGGUGGCGAGUGGCGAACGGGUGAGUAAUACAUCGGAACAUGUCCUGUAGUGGGGGAUAGCCCGGCGAAAGCCGGAUUAAUACCGCAUACGCCCUACGGGGGAAAGGAGGGGAUUCGCAAGGACCUUUCACUAUUGGAGCGGCCGAUAUCGGAUUAGCUAGUUGGUGAGGUAAGGGCUCACCAAGGCGACGAUCCGUAGCUGGUUUGAGAGGACGACCAGCCACACUGGGACUGAGACACGGCCCAG